rnacentral:rRNA from 1 species
AACGAACGCUGGCGGCGUGCCUGAGACAUGCAAGUCGUGGGAGAAAGUCGGAGCAAUCCGGCUAGUAAACCGGCGCACGGGUGAGUAACACGUGGACAACCCGCCUUGGAGUUCGGGAUAACCCGUCGAAAGACGGACUAAUACCGGAUAUGACCACGGGGAUUCGCUCUCUGAGGUAAAAGNUGGCCUCUGCUCCUGCAAGCUAUCUCUUCGAGAGGGGUCCNCGUCCUACAGCUAGUUGGUGAGGUAACGGCUCACCAAGGCUAAGACGGGUAGCUGGUCUGAGAGGAUGGUCAGCCACACUGGGACUGAGACACGGCCCAGAGUCCUACGGGAUGCAGCAGUCAGGAAUAUUGCGCAAGUGGA